rnacentral:rRNA from 1 species
UGGGGAAUAUUGGACAAUGGGCGAAAGCCUGAUCCAGCCAUGCCGCGUGUGUGAAGAAGGUCUUCGGAUUGUAAAGCACUUUAAGUUGGGAGGAAGGGCAGUAAGCGAAUACCUUGCUGUUUUGACGUUACCGACAGAAUAAGCACCGGCUAACUCUGUGCCAGCAGCCGCGGUAAUACAGAGGGUGCAAGCGUUAAUCGGAAUUACUGGGCGUAAAGCGCGCGUAGGUGGUUCGUUAAGUUGAAUGUGAAAGCCCCGGGCUCAACCUGGGAACUGCAUCCAAAACUGGCGAGCUAGAGGAGGGCAGAGGGUGGUGGAAGUGCAUGUGUAGCGGUGAAAUGCGUAGAUAAAGGAAGGAACACCAGUGGCGAAGGCGACCACCUGGGCUCAUACUGACACUGAGGUGCGAAAGCGUGGGGAGCAAACAGG